AGUAGCCGCGGUAAUUCCAGCUCCAAUAGCGUAUAUUAAAGUUGUUGCAGUUAAAAAGCUCGUAGUUGAAUUUCGGGAUCAAUUAAUUGGUCGUGCCUCUGGUACGUACUGAUUUUAUUGGUUUCUCCCUUCUGACGAACCAUGAUGUCAUUAAUUUGAUGUCGUGGAGAAUCAGGACUGUUACUUUGAAAAAAUUAGAGUGUUUAAAGCAAGCUAACGCUUGAAUACAUUAGCAUGGAAUAAUGAAAUAGGACGUUUGAUCCUAUUUUGUUGGUUUCUAGGAUCGACGUAAUGAUUAAUAGGGAUAGUUGGGGGCAUUAGUAUUCAAUUGUCAGAGGUGAAAUUCUUGGAUUUAUUGAAGACUAACUACUGCGAAAGCAUUUGCCAAGGAUGUUUUCAUUAAUCAAGAACGAAAGUUAGGGGAUCGAAGACGAUCAGAUACCGUCGUAGUCUUAACCAUAAACUAUGCCGACUAGGGAUCGGAUGAUGUUAAUUUUUUAAUGACUCAUUCGGCGCCUUA
rnacentral:rRNA from 1 species